rnacentral:lncRNA from 1 species
UCCUCGGCUGCAGGUAACAAUAUUACUGUUGCCGACGCUGGCAACAGUGACGAGAACCUGGAAAAUAUACAGAUCAAAUAACAUCGUGCCAUAGAGAAUCAGCCAUCGUAUUCUGCUGUACAUUUCUAAUCGAGUACACGAAACAAUGACAAGCUCCCUCAGCUAGAAGCAAAAGUCCUGUUUUCUUUGCCAUGUUGAUGUGGAUGCUGGUCAAAAACCGUCGAACUUACAGGAGUCGAAGUCUUAAUUCGGGUGAAGCGCAAAACACCGGUAACACACGAUGUUGGGGUGGCGGUAAAGAUUGACGACGACGACGACGCAGAGCUGGGCUCAAGUUGUACUUCACCUUAGCCUGUAUCAAGAGCUCCUUGAACACUUGGGAUAUAUUCGUGUUGUCUUUCGCCGAUACCUCGACGAAACCGUUCUCCCAAUCAACCGUUGCCAACGCCUGCGUGCUCUCCUUGUCGACCUGAUCAACGAAAUUCGAUUAGGGGGGAUGAUAAUUGGAAAUUGAAAACGACCUCCUGAAUUUUAACGAACGACGCGUCUCACCUCGCGAUGCUCGUCGGCCAAAUCGACCUUGUUCCCCACGAGGACGAUCGGUACCGCGGCGUAUCCUUUGGUUUCAAGUAU